GAUGAACGCUGGCGGCGUGCCUAACACAUGCAAGUCGAACGGAGAUUACAGACGGAAGUUUUCGGAUGGAAGUCAGUAAUUCUUAGUGGCGGACGGGUGAGUAACGCGUGGGCAACCUGCCCUAUACAGGGGGAUAGCAGCUGGAAACGGCUGGUAAGACCGCAUAAGUCGUUCUGGUCGCAUGACCGGGACGGGAAAUGAGUAAUCAGGUAUAGGAUGGGCCCGCGUCCGAUUAGCCAGUUGGCAGGGUAAGAGCCUACCAAAGCAACGAUCGGUAGCCGGACUGAGAGGUCGGACGGCCACAUUGGGACUGAGACACGGCCCAAACUCCUACGGGAGGCAGCAGUGGGGGAUAUUGCACAAUGGAGGAAACUCUGAUGCAGCGACGCCGCGUGAGUGAAGAAGUAUUUCGGUAUGUAAAGCUCUAUCAGCAGGGAAGAUGAUGACGUACCUGACUAAGAGCCCCG
rnacentral:rRNA from 1 species